CUGGUUGCUGGUUGAGAGAGGGUUCUUGGCUGAAGGCGGGGACCGUCGGUAAGUGACAAAGUGUCCAGAGUGCAUGUCACCAUGGUGGACGACAACUGCCAUCAGCCGGAAGAGAGGACAGGACCUCCUGCAAGCUGGCCUUGCGGACAGCGUCAUCAGAGACCCAUAGCCACUGGUUGCUGGUUGAGAGAGGGUUCUUGGCUGAAGGCGGGGACCGUCGGACACGGCCUUCCCUCAUUUCCUGUGUAAGUGAGAUGACUGCAUUGAGAGAGAAAAAAAGGAAAAAAGGAAAGAAAUUCACUGGAAAAGCAAGACUGCAAUGGUUAGCUUUUCUCCCUACACUUUUUCAUCUGUAAUAAAG